CCGGGCACGGACAAAGGCGGGGACCGCAGCCGCCCGGCCCUCGGCGCGUGGACGCGGCCCGUGGAAAAUCCCCGGCGGCGGGGCCUCGGUCCUGCCCUGUAUUAAGGGAACGCAGUGAUGAGCCAGAGAGACAAAUUCCCCAGUCUUGGGGGGGAAGAGAAAUGAAUACAACAACAAAGCUGUGUGAAGACUGCAAUGGUGAGGAAAGAUAAGGAGUGUGGGGGAAGAUAUAACCCGGAAAAGUCCCAGAACACCUCUUUCUGAUCUCCGGGGCGUGCAUGCUCUGAAUGAACAAAACCAGCAACUUGGACGUGAACACGAUGGACUUGAGCCACAGUGUCUGACGUGAACACGAUGCGCUCUUGAGGCACAGUUCUGAGGCCCCGGACUUGUUGAUUGCACGCAUUUGACAAGGGCAUAUUUGGGAUUCUCAUCUCCGCGUGUUUGAGACAGCCAUAGAUGAGGAAGCUGAGGCCCGGGGAAAGCCUGUACCUCGUCCAGCAAACGUUGUACCAGACCAAGCCCGAGGCUGCCUGAC